GUAGGUGGCAAGCGUUGUCCGGAAUUAUUGGGCGUAAAGCGCGCGCAGGGCGGUCCUUUAAGUCUGAUGUGAAAGCCCACGGCUCAACCGUGGAGGGUCAUUGGAAACUGGGGGACUUGAGUACAGAAGAGGAAAGCGGAAUUCCAAGUGUAGCGGUGAAAUGCGUAGAGAUUUGGAGGAACACCAGUGGCGAAGGCGGCUUUCUGGUCUGUAACUGACGCUGAGGCGCGAAAGCGUGGGGAGCAAACAGGAUUAGAUACCCUGGUAGUCCACGCCGUAAACGAUGAGUGCUAAGUGUUACGGGGUUUCCGCCCCUUAGUGCUGCAGCUAACGCAUUAAGCACUCCGCCUGGGGAGUACGGCCGCAAAGGCUG
rnacentral:rRNA from 1 species